AAAGUCGUAACAAGGUUUCCGUAGGUGAACCUGCGGAAGGAUCAUUAACACGUUCCAAAACGUAUCAACUCAACGGUUAAGUGCAAACUUAUUCCCGCAUAAUGGGAGCUGUUCAGAGAUCUCUAGUGAUGGGUGAGUCUUCGGACUCGCAGAGAUAGCUGAGCUAGGGUCUUGAGCCCAAUGCUCCUUUUAUGUGGCUUUUCCCCCCCUUUUUCCCAUCACUUCCACCCACCCCUUUCACCCCUUUGAAACUUAUGACUAAAUCUUUCGAACGAAGAAAUUUGUUUGGAAUUGUAUAUCUAACACUGUACAACUCUUAGCAAUGGAUAUCUUGGUUCUC
rnacentral:misc_RNA from 1 species